rnacentral:rRNA from 1 species
GACGGAGGGUGCGAGCGUUAAUCGGAAUUACUGGGCGUAAAGGGCGCGUAGGCGGUGGGUUACGUCUGCCGUGAAAUCCCUGGGCUCAACCUGGGAAUGGCGGUGGAAACGGGCUGACUGGAGUAUGGGAGAGGGUUAUGGAAUUCCAGGUGUAGCGGUGAAAUGCGUAGAGAUCUGGAGGAACACCAGUGGCGAAGGCGGUCACCUGGCCCAAUACUGACGCUGAGGCGCGAAAGCGUGGGGAGCAAACAGG